GGUCAGGUAGGCAAGUAUGCUGUGGAUGUAGGCUUAACCAUAAGAGCAUAAUGUGUGACCUGGAAGGCAGCACAAUACUUUAGCACAGGAUACAUGUAUCAGCUGACGGAGCUAUUGCUUGUUUGUGCAGGAGGAAAAGAGAUUGGACAGCUCUGGUGUACUGUUGGUCCGCUGGCUGGCAGUCUGUGAUGCAAUGGGCUGUUGGCUAUGUGAAACGGAACAUGAAAAAUUGCUGCAUAUGGAGGAGCAGCAUGCAAGAGGAGAGAGUGGAAGAAGAGCAACACUGCCUGCAUCACCCAGAAAGAAGGUGCCAGCCAAACAGCGCUAACCAGCACAGGAUGAUAGAAAUGUAGCUGUCAAAAACUUCCUGGAAUACCUUCCUGACACAUAAAUCUAUUGUCAGGUCCUCCCAACCUAAAACCUAACAAAAUGACAAUUACUGCAUUUUAGACUUUAAUUGUUCUGUGCAAACUACUGCAUCCUACAUAAAGCCCAAUGUUGGAACCACAUGAGAAACUGGCUACAAGGAUACAUACUGUAUCAUGAAUAAUCAAAGGAGAUCUGCGUGACACAGAAGUAAAGAGUUGAGGCAAGCAGUACUUGUGAUUUGUAACUGAUAUGAUUUGUUGUUCAACUCAAUCACAUGACAAGAAAAUCCCAGAAUUUUGCCCAGGAGCCCCAAAUCACUGCACCUUUGUGUUUUUUGCAUUCUUGUUCAUCAUCUCUCUGCUAAAUGACAAAGCUUUGAUCUGGGCCACACGACUUCUCAAAAAGGUUGAGUAAAAGUAUGGAGUUUCUGGUAUUCUGAAGUUGACCUUUGACCACCAAUGUCUUCACAAGAUCAAGAAAUGCGGUCACUCAGCCACCCAGUAUGUUAUUGCUUUUCAUACUCUCCCGGGGUGCUUGGCCUUAAGACACUUAGGUACUCUUGAAUUUUGGAGCCAUGGAGAAUUUAAUAGAUUUGGCUUGGAAAAUGAAACUAUCCUUGGUUUUGGGACUUGCAUUUUUACUCCUCUUCCUAUAUAGGUACCACAUACACUCUAAUGGAUACAAACCAUGCUAAAUAAUCUCUAGAACAGUUUCUACAAUGCUUUGCCUUCACUGCCUAGGAUGACUGGUCCCACUUGAUUGUAUUGUUAGAGUUUCUGAGGACAAAACUAGUGUAAAACUCCACAGGGAUUUUCUCAUUCUACCUUAAGAAUGCUCUCCACCCAAAAAAGCUUUGUGGACUAGAAGAGACUAGACAGGCUACUCUUCCCAAUGUGCAACAGUAUGGAUUUCCACAUGUAACAACACCUUCCUUCAGGAUCCACCUGGUGUCUCACAUAUUCCAGUAUGAAAGAUGGUUCCUCUUUGUCCACCCUAUUGACAAUUCCAUCCCUUCUCCACUCCAUCGACUUGAGCUUUGCCCAUUAAAGACCCAUCUUCACAUCUAAAUAGUCUGGCAAGUCGCUGUGUGUUUUUGUGAUCUACCCUAACAAAAUGAUUCUCUACUAGGAACAAUCAGCACCAUAGCACUAACUCUAUAAGAAAAUGUAGCACAGCUAGUGGUUGGUUUAUUUUGCCGUGGCCGCUUAUUUACAACAAUUUUGACCACGAUGACCUGUGAG